rnacentral:rRNA from 1 species
CUACGGGAGGCAGCAGUGAGGAAUAUUGCACAAUGGGGGGAACCCUGAUGCAGCAACGCCGCGUGGAGGAUGACGCAUUUCGGUGUGUAAACUCCUUUUAUAUGUCAAGAAAAUGACGGUAGCAUAUGAAUAAGCACCGGCUAACUCCGUGCCAGCAGCCGCGGUAAUACGGAGGGUGCAAGCGUUACUCGGAAUCACUGGGCGUAAAGGACGCGUAGGCGGGUUGGAAAGUCAGGUGUGAAAUCCUACAGCUUAACUGUAGAACUGCACUUGAAACUUCUAAUCUAGAGUAUGGGAGGGGGAGAUGGGAUUAGCGGUGUAGGGGUAAAAUCCGUAGAUAUCACUAGGAAUACCUAAAGCGAAGGCGAUCUCCUGGAACAUUACUGACGCUAAGGCGUGAAAGCGUGGGGAGCAAACAGGAUUAGAUACCCUCGUAGUC